CCCCGUACACAAAAAUGCACAUGCUGUGAGCUCGAUGAGUAGGGCGGGACACGUGGUAUCCUGUCUGAAUAUGGGGGGACCAUCCUCCAAGGCUAAAUACUCCUGACUGACCGAUAGUGAACCAGUACCGUGAGGGAAAGGCGAAAAGAACCCCGGCGAGGGGAGUGAAAAAGAACCUGAAACCGUGUACGUACAAGCAGUGGGAGCACGCUUAGGCGUGUGACUGCGUACCUUUUGUAUAAUGGGUCAGCGACUUAUAUUCUGUAGCAAGGUUAACCGAAUAGGGGAGCCGAAGGGAAACCGAGUCUUAACUGGGCGUUAAGUUGCAGGGUAUAGACCCGAAACCCGGUGAUCUAGCCAUGGGCAGGUUGAAGGUUGGGUAACACUAACUGGAGGACCGAACCGACUAAUGUUGAAAAAUUAGCGGAUGACUUGUGGCUGGGGGUGAAAGGCCAAUCAAACCGGGAGAUAGCUGGUUCUCCCCGAAAGCUAUUUAGGUAGCGCCUCGUGAAUUCAUCUCCGGGGGUAGAGCACUGUUUCGGCAAGGGGGUCAUCCCGACUUACCAACCCGAUGCAAACUGCGAAUACCGGAGAAUGUUAUCACGGGAGACACACGGCGGGUGCUAACGUCCGUCGUGAAGAGGGAAACAACCCAGACCGCCAGCUAAGGUCCCAAAGUCAUGGUUAAGUGGGAAACGAUGUGGGAAGGCCCAGACAGCCAGGAUGUUGGCUUAGAAGCAGCCAUCAUUUAAAGAAAGCGUAAUAGCUCACUGGUCGAGUCGGCCUGCGCGGAAGAUGUAACGGGGCUAAACCAUGCACCGAAGCUGCGGCAGCGACGCUGAUGCGUUGUUGGGUAGGGGAGCGUUCUGUAAGCCUGCGAAGGUGUGCUGUGAGG
rnacentral:rRNA from 1 species